GGUUGGCAAGAGCUAGGGACAAGGCUGCAGGAGAUUGCCCUGUCACACGGCUUUGAACUGCUGACCUUUCAAUUGGCAGCCCAGCAGCUCAGUGGUUUAAACUACUGUGCCACUGCAUCCCCAAAGAAAGAGGAAGAGUCAGAAACGAAUAAACAAAAGCCCGGAGUUAUCACACUGGAUCCAGACGAAGGUCAUCACUUCUCUUGAGCCAUUUAUUCCUCAUCUUGUUGCAUCUGAACAUGCUAUGGCAGACCAUAACAUCAAGAACAUGAAACCUAGACACCUGAAACUUGGCAUGCAUGCAAAGGAGAACCCACAGGUGCACACCUCAAAGGGAAUGGAGUGGACAGACCCUUCCCUUAGGGGUCGUAAGGAUGCACCAUAGCAGGAGCUUUGUCUAGAAGUGCAUUGGGGGCUGUUUCACUCAGGAGUACCAGGAGAAGCUCUUCUCUGAGGGACAUUGGCCCAUUGCAGGUCAAGGCAGAGAUCCUUCUCUGUUGCGAUGCCUCAACUAUGGGAGCACCCACCAUGGAAGCCCAACUGGCACCAACAUUCUGUCAUUUUCUGCAACAGGACAUGAACGAUUUGCUUGCCCAGGUAUUUUAAGCUGGCCUACUGUAAGCUGGUGGAUACAUAUAUUUUACGUGUUCUCUCUUGCUACUGUUCCCAUAUGUCAUUAUGGAUUUUGGAAUCCACUUUGCACAUCACCCUUGUAUUGUAUUGGGAGCUGUCAAAACAUUUUAAAAUAAACUUAACUAAACCGCC